rnacentral:rRNA from 1 species
AACGAACGCUGGCGGCAUGCCUUAUACAUGCAAGUCGAACGAGAUCUUCGGAUCUAGUGGCGCACGGGUGCGUAACGCGUGGGAAUCUGCCCUUGGGUUCGGAAUAACUUCUGGAAACGGAAGCUAAUACCGGAUGAUGACGUAAGUCCAAAGAUUUAUCGCCCAAGGAUGAGCCCGCGUAGGAUUAGGUAGUUGGUGAGGUAAAGGCUCACCAAGCCGACGAUCCUUAGCUGGUCUGAGAGGAUGAUCAGCCACACUGGGACUGAGACACGGCCCAGACUCCUACGGGAGGCAGCAGUAGGGAAUAUUGGACAAUGGGCGAAAGCCUGAUCCAGCAAUGCCGCGUGAGUGAUGAAGGCCUUAGGGUUGUAAAGCUCUUUUACCCGGGAUGAUAAUGACAGUACCGGGAGAAUAAGCGCCGGCUAACUCCGUG